GACGAACGCUGGCGGCGUGCUUAACACAUGCAAGUCGAACGAUGAACCCGGAGCUUGCUCCGGCGGAUUAGUGGCGAACGGGUGAGUAACACGUGAGUAACCUGCCCUUGACUCUGGGAUAGCUGCUAGAAAUGGUAGCUAAUACCGGAUACGACCCUCGGUGGCAUCACCAGGGGGUGGAAAGAAUUUCGGUCAAGGAUGGACUCGCGGCCUAUCAGCUAGUUGGUGAGGUAACGGCUCACCAAGGCGACGACGGGUAGCCGGCCUGAGAGGGUGACCGGCCACACUGGGACUGAGACACGGCCCAGACUCCUACGGGAGGCAGCAGUGGGAAAUAUUGCACAAUGGGCGCAAGCCUGAUGCAGCAACGCCGCGUGAGGGAUGACGGCCUUCGGGUUGUAAACCUCUUUUAGUAGGGAAGAAGCGAAAGUGACGGUACCUGCAGAAAAAGCACCGGCUAACUACGUGCCAGCCGCCGCGGUAA
rnacentral:rRNA from 1 species